ACAUAUUUCUCCUUGGUCUGCAUAAGUUGAUUCAUCUCAUCAGCACUUUCUGAUCAAUUGAUACGUUUUUGAAAGCGUGUUUUUGGCAAUUGCUUUCUAAUGUGUGAAAUGAUACCAUCUUGGGUAUUAAUGAAAAUGGAUGCUAAUGCAAUAAACAGAAGUACUUUUCACAUCAAGGCCCUUCCCUAGUGACACAGGAUCAUUGAGCAUCUUCAAGUGUUUUUCCUUUUACAAAUUGUCAGGUGAACAUUUUCUGAUUUGUAAAUUUGUUUUUUAAAAAAGCUGUUUGCAUCAUGAUGCAGGAUUUGAAAUCGAUUUGUUUUGGUAACUUUUAAUUUCUAAGGAUGCAUCGCUCUGCAUUUAUCAGAAGUGGCUUUAUUGGAGGGGUAUAUAAUGAGCUGUUAACCCCUUGUUUGCGUGAGUGGAUAUGGGUCUUGCUUCCAUCUGCAGUUCUGACUCCAGAGCCUCCUCCCACUCAGGUCAGAGCUGGAGGGGGAUGCCUGUUUCCACAGUGUACUCUGCUGAUGAGUCAUGCCCUUCAGCACACAGAUGACAGAAGUGCCUAGAAGCCUUGGUUGCUGACCAGGAAACCUGUGGAAGGCACCAAACAGAAACAGAGACUAUACCACAAGUGGAGACAGAUCUACAAAGGAUAUAAUGAAGAUGAAGUUUAAAACUAUGGACUUACACACUGGAAUGGACAUCUGUGAACAGACCUUUGAACCUGCUUGACAUGGACAAUGUUGUUUCACCCCCAUUAGUAAUGUUAAUGCAUGUUAAAACCAUUGUACCCCAGUUGUAAAUUCAUAUUUUAUUCCCUUAUAAGUUUUCCCUCAUGAACUCUCCUCCCUGAUUGGUUGUUCAGUCCCCUGUUAUGAUUGGUGAGAUUUUGCCGCAGUAAGGCAGUCUCACCACACCCCCCAGAUCAUCCUAUAGGUUAAAAGUUAAUGUAUUCCCUCUGUUACUCCCCUAUUGGUUCUCCCCUUAUGUCAAUCACAUACUCCUCCCAGUUUCUAGACCCUUCCUUCCUUAACCCUAUAUAAGUCCUGUUCGCCCUUUGUUCUGGGCAGCAUCUUCCCGGCUCAGCGCCAGGAAGUGCCCUCACGCCUCCUGUACCAUCAAUAAACCUGCUGCAGACUGCGAA